rnacentral:rRNA from 1 species
GUGCACCAGGCGCGAAAACUUCACACUGUGCGAAAGCACGAUGAGGGAAUCCCAAGUGCUUGCACGUAAGUGUAAGCUGUUUCUCUGUCUAAAAACGCAGAGAGAGUAAGGGCUGGGGUAAGACGGGUGCCAGCCGCCGCGGUACUACCUGCAGCUCAAGUGGUGACCGUUAUUAUUGGGCCUAAAACGUCCGUAGCCGGUUUAAUAAAUGCCUGGGUAAAUCGUGGAGCCCAACUUCACGAAUUCCGGGUAGACUGCCGAGCUCGGGGACCGGAAGAGGGAGAGGGUACUUCAGGGGUAGGGGUGAAAAUUUCCUUUCCAUUAACGCUUUGCGCGAAGCGGAAAGGGUUAUCACAAUCCUGUAAUCCCUGGAGGACCACCCGUGGCGAAGGCGCUCUCCU